rnacentral:tRNA from 1 species
AAAAAAAAAUCCGUGGGUUUCACGGGACCGGGGGGGUUCCCCCCUYUCUCCCCCCCA